AACAGCAUUUAACUACAAAUUAACUUUCCCAUUUCCUCUUCAUCCAAGCAUGCCUAUGAUGGUCCAAUUUAGCAUGAGUACACCAUUCGAAUUAAAAAAUUGUAUUGACGAUAGUUACCUGGAACGCGGUACUCUUGGGUGGUGAUACUGAUACGUAAUACACAAUAUGCUACUUAAUGAAAUAUAGCAUACGCAAGAGAUAGAUUUAAUUGGUACAUCAAUUUAAUUCGUAGUACAUUAAUUCGAU
rnacentral:misc_RNA from 1 species